rnacentral:rRNA from 1 species
CAGCCGCCACGGUAAUACGAAGGGUGCAAGCGUUACUCGGAAUUACUGGGCGUAAAGCGUGCAUAGGUGGUGGUUUAAGUCCGUUGUGAAAGCCCUGGGCUCAACCUGGGAAUUGCAGUGGAUACUGGGUCACUAGAGUGUGGUAGAGGAUAGUGGAAUUUCCGGUGUAGCAGUGAAAUGCGUAGAGAUCGGAAGGAACAUCUGUGGCGAAGGCGACUAUCUGGGCCAACACUGACACUGAGGCACGAAAGCGUGGGGAGCAAACAGGAUUAGAUACCCCUGUAGUCCCUGUCUCUUAUAC